CGGAACACGUACAGAACUUUCCUUUAAGCGGGGGAUAGCCCGGAGAAAUCCGGAUUAAUACCCCAUAGUAAUGUUGGGUGGCAUCACUUGAUAUUUAAAGAUUUAUCACUUAGAGAUGGCUGUGCGGCUGAUUAGGUAGUUGGCGGGGUAAAGGCCCACCAAGCCAUCGAUCAGUAACUGGUGUGAGAGCACGACCAGUCACACGGGCACUGAGACAUGGGCCCG
rnacentral:rRNA from 1 species